UACGGAGGGUGCAAGCGUUAUCCGGAUUCACUGGGUUUAAAGGGUGCGUAGGUGGGCAGGUAAGUCAGUGGUGAAAUCUUUGGGCUUAACCCGAAAACUGCCAUUGAUACUAUUUGUCUUGAAUAUUGUGGAGGUCAGCGGAAUAUGUCAUGUAGCGGUGAAAUGCUUAGAUAUGACAUAGAACACCAAUUGCGAAGGCAGCUGGCUACACAUAUAUUGACACUGAUGCACGAAAGCGUGGGGAGCAAACAGG
rnacentral:rRNA from 1 species